rnacentral:rRNA from 1 species
UACGUAGGUGGCAAGCGUUGUCCGGAUUUAUUGGGUUUAAAGGGUGCGUAGGUGGCCCCGUAAGUCAGUGGUGAAAUAUCUCAGCUUAACUGAGAGGGUGCCAUUGAUACUGCGGGGCUUGAGUACAGAUGAGGUAGGCGGAAUUGACGGUGUAGCGGUGAAAUGCAUAGAUAUCGGAAGGAACACCAGUGGCGAAGGCGGCCGCCUGGACAAAAACUGACACUGAGACACGAAAGCGUGGGGAGCAAACAGG